rnacentral:rRNA from 1 species
UACGUAGGUGGCAAGCGUUGUCCGGAAUCACUGGGCGUAAAGCGCGCGCAGGCGGCGAUCUACGUCUGGGGUGAAAGCCCGGAGCUCAACUCCGGGACUGCCUUGGAUACGGGAUCGCUUGAGGAUUGGAGAGGCAAGGGGAAUUCCACGUGUAGCGGUGAAAUGCGUAGAUAGUGAUGGAGGAACACCUGUGGCGAAGGCGCCUUGGCUGGCCAAUUUCUGA